AAAGACAAAGCGGGUAAGAGAAGAGUGCGCCGCAAAAUGCAGAUCUUCGUAAAAACCCUAACCGGGAAGACAAUCACGCUCGAGGUUGAAUCGAGCGACACCAUUGACAAUGUCAAAGCUAAGAUUCAAGACAAAGAAGGUACUUACGAUAGAUCGUUAUUCUCCGUCAUCUCUUUGUUCUUUGUAUCAGUAAUUUGUUUCUGACGCCAUUUGAUUUUCAUUUUUUAGGUAUUCCACCGGACCAGCAGCGGUUGAUCUUUGCCGGAAAGCAGCUCGAAGAUGGACGUACUCUUGCUGAUUAUAACAUCCAGAAAGGUACUAUAGUAACGCUAAUAUGUACAUGGACUUAGCAGUGUAAUAGUUAGUUAUAUCUGUUUGAUGAUUUUAAUGAUGAUUUAUCGGGUCAAUUUUUUAGAGUCAACUUUGCAUUUGGUUUUGAGGCUUCGUGGAGGGAUUAUUGAGCCUUCUCUGAUGGCUUUGGCGAGGAAGUACAACCAGGAUAAGAUGAUUUGCCGCAAGUAAGAUUUUUUUCUACAUUUACUACUGUAAUUUGCUUUUGUAUGUGGUAAUUGUGGUGUCUUCUACAGUGCAUGCAUGUAUUCCAUGUAAUAGUGGUCUUCUAUGUAUGAAAAAUUAUUUGAUGCAUUGGAAAUUCAAAUUGUAUAUUCCUUUCAUAUUCAAACGAAAUUGUUUCGAUCCCUAUUUUGGAGGUUAAUUCUGAUUAUGCUAUUCAGAUACAAUAUCUAUUGAGCUGAUCUAUGAUGUGAUUAUUAGCUGCCUCUAGUAAGAAUAUUAAGGAUUUCUCUCUUGUAAAGCUCAGAGCUAGCUCGAAUUCUGUCUAAGUACUCAUAAUUUUCAUUUUAUUCAUGCUUUUCUACUCUCGUAGUUUGGUUAAUGCCGUUGGAGAACUUUGCUUUUCUGGGAAUGUGCUGUUCAAGUGAAAAGAAAACAGCUGACUAUUACUUUGUUUGCCUCUUAUUUGCCCAUUGAUUCGACAGUGCAUCUCAUUGUAUUUAUCUUUAUUUGUAACUGAAAAAGGUCUACCUUCAGCAUUUAUGUCAUCGGGGUCCCCUGAGUACGAUACAUGUAAGGAUUGACAUUUUCGACAUUCCUUAACUAGCUAUAUCAUCUGUUCUGCACUCGGGUCAACCAAUUAGUUGGUUGAGAUAGUGUGGACAGUUAGGUUCCCUUAAACAAUGUGUCUCAAGAUUCAUAGGGUUAUUACUUUUACUUAAUAUAGUGCCUUUAUAAGUUAAUUUUGUGGGUCAGUUGUCAUUGUUUGACAAUAGUGCAGCUUUCGAAAACUGUUAGCAGGUUAAGAUAGAGACCCUUGUUACCUUCCAUAAUACUGAGACUAAGUUUCUUUUUCCCCUGUUAGACUUUGCGCUUAUGGCUUAACUUUUUUUCCUAUGGCUUGUGUUAUAAACCGUGAUGGUGAUUACGUAAUCCUGGAACCUAACCACUUGUUUUAGGUGCUAUGCUCGCCUGCAUCCUCGUGCUGUUAACUGCAGGAAGAAAAAAUGUGGGCACAGCAACCAGGUUUGUAGAUGAUAGGUGUAUGUUACACUUCCUUUGCCUCCCAAUACUGAUUAUGGCACUCACCAACUUUUCUUGCCUUGCAGCUGAGGCCAAAGAAGAAGAUCAAGUAGGCGUGAUGUCUUUUCUAAGCUUAAAUCAAUUUUGUGUGUUGCAGCUAUAUUGCCAGUCCGUUGUUUUUACAGUUUUCAGUCCUGCUUCAACUUGAUGUCAUGAAUAGACAAGCAUUUGUUUUGAACAUCUAAUUAUUGGAUAAGAUAUCUUUGUGCAUUCAAUAUAUGUCUGUUUCGAUGGAGUUUA
rnacentral:lncRNA from 1 species